rnacentral:tRNA from 1 species
AAAUAAGAAGCAUUUAAAAUGUGUCUGAUUUCGGCUCAGAAGAAGAGAAGUAUCUCCUUGUUUA